UGUUUUUUUCUUCUCCACUCGAAAUGCACGACCCCUCUCUCUUUCUCUCGAAACAUCUCGUGCCUAAAACCCCUCUCUUCCUCUCCUUCACCCCAUCACCAAUAACCCUCUUCAGACGUCGGUUGACGACUCGUUCGUCGACAAAGGAACCCAAUCUUUGACACCUCGAACACUGUCAUUGCCACUGUGUCUCCAUCUUCCAAUUCAUAUUACAAUAAAUCUGGAAACGUUGCCUUUUGCAUCAGCUACGAGUUGCCUCUCUAAAGCUUACCCUACAGCCGACGUGGGUCGUAGCUCGUCAGAGAUCAAGUCAACCACUGUCUAUCUCCAUUCUUUAUUCAUAUCCAACUCUUAGAGUGAAAUUUCUUUGGUUCAGGGUUAUCAUUUUAGGUGUUUUGAAUAUCCAUUAAGUUUAAACUUGAGUUUAACAUUACCCAUUACUUUUUAUACUAGAUUAGAGUCUUAGAAGAGUUUGAGUUGUUGUCUAGCCAUUCGAAAGCUUGAAUCUAGGCGUUUUGGCAGCACUUGGGCCAAAUUGAAGUGGGGAAAGCGUAUAAUCCCAAGGGAUCGAGUUAUUGACUGCUACAUGAGUGUGUUUCUGUGGUGCCACAUAUGGUUGUUAGGAGGUUCCGAGGCUGAAAGAGGUCGUGGCAAAAUCCGAGAACCUGAGCCUAGGUGAGAAUAUGGAUGAAGGAUUGUCAUUUGGCUUCGGGCCUAGCUUAACCCAUGAUGGAUGUCUCUAUGUGCACAUAGGAGCGGAUAUGAAGGUUGUUACUGUGAUAGGUGCUAAGUAUGCAUGAGCUUAGUUUGGUUCCAUAUUUCCUUGUGGAUAUGGAUCAUGUGUGAGCUAUUUUCGACUGUGUAUUUAGGAUGCUAUCAUGGUUGGAUUGGAUGGAGGUUGUUACUGUAGUAGGUGCUAAAUAUGUGUGAGUUCAAUUUGGCCGUGUGUUUCCUUGUGAAUAUGGAUCACAUGUGAUAUAUUAUCAGUAGUAUAUUUCGUACGUUAUCAUGGUGGGAUUAAAUGGUGGUUGUUACUGUGGUAGGUGCUAAGUACGCGUGAGCUCAGUUUGACCACUUGUUUCCUUGUAGAUAUAGAUCACGUGUGAGCUAUUCUUGACGAUGUAUUUAGUAUUCUACCAUGGUCAGAUUGGAUGGAGGUUGCUAUCAUGACAGGUACUAAAUAUGCAUGAACUAGGUUCGGCCGCAUGAUUCAUUGAUCAUGUUCGAGCUAUUUUUGGUUGUUUAUAUAGGCGCCUUGCCAUGGUUGGAUUGGGUACACAUUUGUUGGCUUGACUUGUGAUUUAUUGUAUUAUGUGAUGACAACGAUUUAAUUGUUAUUUCAUUAUCGAUGCAUAUUUACACAUUUUUUGGGAGCAUGUUUUACGAGCUUCGAUUUCUAAAAACUUGCCACUCAUUGAGAUUUUAGCUCACGUUUUCAAUAUUCUUUUCCCCCUCUAGGUAGUGAUAAGGACCAAGCAUUGGUUGAACUCCUUGUCACCAUUUAUAGAUCUUCAUUUUUUAUGUAUAUAGUUAACUUUUGUAUAGCGAGAGUGACGCCUAGAACUCGUGUUUUGAAAGAUCCUUCAUCAGAUUAAAAUCAUUUUGUAUGUAAUAUCUAGUUUGAAUUUUAACUCUAAAUUCGUUUGGAUGUGUGUGGUGAGACACACUUGUUGUGUCGUGUAAUUUAUAUACAUAUACAAGUGAAAAUUUCUUUCUUUUCAGGUUUGACUAACUCAUAUUUUAGGAGAGAUGAUGCCAAAAUUUUCGUAGAAUUUCAUAAUAUGUAUUCCAUGAAAGUUUAAGUUGAAAAAAGUUAUUUCAAAUGUGUUUUUAUGCCACGAUCUAGAUUAGAGAGGAAAACUUAGAACUACAUGUGACAACUAAAACAUUUAUUUUAAAACUUUAGAAAGAAAAUAAAUAAUAAACUCGAACUUGAUGGACUAAAAUUGGAUUUUGACCUCUCUGUUAUUAUAAAUGACCCAUUUUAAAUGUCGAAAUUAGGGGUGUACAAAUAUGGGUUGAACCCGAAUAACCUGGACUACCCAACCCAUAUUAUACGGGUUGGGUUGGGUUAGGUUAAAAUAUGGGUUGGGUUGGGUUAAAAAAGAUUGAUUUUUUCGGGUUGGGUUGGGUCUUGGGUUGGAGAGUUGAAAAAUUUUGUUCAACCCAACCCAACCCGAAUUAAUGUAAUAUAUAAAUAAAUAAAUAUAUUAUUUUAAUAUAAAAACAAAUUAAAUGUAUAUAAAUCUGAAUGUAUUGUAUGAAAGUUUGAAUGAUGCAUGUUUGAAAUUUAAAUGUAACAAUUUCAAAUUUUUAUAAUCAUUAGAAAUUAGAAAUUAGAAAACGGGAAAAGAAAAAUUAAAAAAAUAAUUAUAUAUACAAUCCGACAACCCAACUCAACCAGUAAAAUAUGGGUUGGAUUGGGUUAGAAACUAAAUUCGGGUUAUUCGAGUUGCCAAUCCAAAUAACCUGAAAAUAUAGGUUGGGUUGGAAGAUACAAUCCAACCGAUUUCACCCCUAGCGGAAAUUACAAAUGACCCAUUCAAAUGCUCCGUAUUCAAGAACACAUAAGUUAUACUAUUACCCAGUGAUCUGGGGUUUCUUCUUAUUCUCUUUUCUCCAGGUGCAGCACCGUCUUCCUCUUCCGCUUCCUCGUCUUCCGUCUUCACGCAUGCGAGCUCCUUCUCUCUGACUUCCUCUUCUUCUCCAACACAACGUUCAUGGGCGUGAGGCUUUGUCCCCUACUUCUUCUUCAGGGGAGUGAGAGCUGGGUGAUGGGAGUCUUGCGCGAGACCGAGAGAGCAAGAGCACAAAGAGCGAGCCCAUGAGAUGGAAAAGAUCUUGAGUGAUUUUGAGAGAGCGAGAGCAUGAGAGCGAGAAUUAGGCGACAACGAAUUAACAGCUCGACUCUUUAAAUUUGUGUGGAGGUUGUUUAUUUAUUUUGCAGGAACUAAUGUGAAUACUUGACUCCAAGCAUAAUAAUAUUGAAUUCGUAGUCAUGGAUAAUGGAAACAAGGACUGUGUGCCCGAAGCACUCUCAAAAUUGGUAGAUGCUGAUGAUUCUGGAGAAUCUCCUGUUAAAGUGAAAUGUAUCGAGCAGAGAGAGGCUUUUCCUGGAGAACCUAAAUGUGUUGUAUGUGGUCGUUAUGGUGAAUACAUAUGUGAUGAGACAGAUGAUGAUGUUUGCAGCAUGGAAUGUAAACAAUCAGUUCUACGCAAAGUGGCAAAUACAAUGGCUCCAGAUAAGGCGCCAUCUAAAAGACUUCCUGCUGCCGACGAGUGCUUUUAUGUUAAGGAAUCUAAUUAUUCAGGUUCUUUGACUUGUGAGCAGACUGAGAUGCUUAGGAAAAAACUUGGAAUCAGUAUAAAGGGAGACUUAGAUUGUGCUCCUAUAUUGUCAUUUUCUUUUGGCAACCUCCCUCAGAAGCUAUUCCAGAAUCUAGAGACUGCAGGCUAUGAGAUGCCCACACCUGUUCAGAUGCAAGCUAUACCAGCUGCUUGUUUGGGUAAAAAUCUGCUUGUUUCGGCUGAGACUGGCUCUGGAAAGACUGUGUCCUAUCUGGUUCCAAUAGUUUCCUACUGUGCACGUGCUUGUCUUGAGUGUUUCCAUGGUGAAAAGAAGCCACUAGCUAUGGUUCUAACACCUACUAGAGAGCUUUGCAUUCAAGUUGAACAACAAGCGAAGUUGCUUGGAAAAGGCAUGCCAUUUAAAACUGCCCUUGUUGUUGGUGGUGAUGCCCUAGCUGGACAGCUCCAUCGUAUCCAGCAAGGAGUUGAGCUGAUUGUUGCUACUCCUGGCAGGUUGGUUGAUCUUUUGACAAAGCAUGAUAUUGAACUUGAUGAAGUGAGGACUUUUGUUCUGGAUGAAGUGGAUUGCUUACUCCAAAAAGGCUUUCGUGAUCAGGUAUUACAGAUUUUCAGGGCUCUUUCAGUACCACAAAUCUUAAUGUAUACAGCAACUCCCUCUCCAGAAGUAGAGAAGAUGGCAAAAUCUAUGGGAGAUGGCACCGUUAUCAUAUCUACUAGCAUGUCAAAUAAACCAACCAAGGCUUUGAAGCAGGUUGUUAUCUGGGUAGAAUCAAAGAAUAAGAAACAAAAGCUUUUUGACAUAUUAACAAGUAAGCAACAUUUUAUGCCCCCUCUUGUAGUGUAUGUAGGCUCAAGGCUUGGAGCCGAUCUCCUUUCUAAUGCAAUUACUGUUACCACUGGGAUAAAUGCAUUGUCAAUUCACGGGCACAAGUCCAUGAAGGAGAGACGAGAAGCCAUGAGAUCAUUUAUUAUGGGAGAAGUUCAAGUGAUGGUGGCUACUGGGAUUUUGGGUCGAGGGAUGGAUCUUUUGUGUGUGAGGCAAGUGAUUAUAUUUGACAUGCCAAAUUCAAUCAAGGAGUAUGUACAUCAGAUUGGGCGGGCAUCUAGACUUGGAGAGGAGGGCAAAGCCAUAGUGUUUGUGAAUGAGGAAAAUAAGAAUUUAUUUCAAGAUUUAGUGGAGACUUUGAAGUCUUCUGGAGCACCUAUACCUCGAGAACUUCUGAAUUCACAUCAUACAGCAAAUUCUUCGUACAGGGCUAAAAACCAGAAGAAACGGAAGUAUUCUUAGACAUAAAUCCGUGGAAAAUUUACUAUAUCAACUUUAACGAAUUUACUAUCAGUCUUAUUAAACCUGUGAGAAGGCAUUGGAGUUUUGAUAUGAUAUGUAAAUGCCUUGUGGUCUGCUGGCAGAAUGAGGUGCUUGGUAUUUGAAGCUUCCUAAGGAUCUAGCUUUUGAAGGUGUAAUGUAUGCCCAAGUAUUACUGAGAAAAGAAUGAACACUUUUUGUUCUUCCACAACUAAGAAGGGGCCUGCACCAACCCUGGUACGCUUCAAAAAAAGUCUUGGAUGAGAUGGAUGCAUGUUUCAACUUGGAAAGGUAAUCAAAGCGAUUAUGAAUAUAUCUUACCCACACUAAGAAAUUUCUAGUACUAUUAUAGUAUUAAAUUCAUUAUUUGUCAUGAAAGAAGCAUUUAAGAAUGGUAUGAAGCACAUAAAUAUGACGUGUCAAGUGUUGAAUUGGAGGAGUAUGUAACAGUAAUUUUCGAACAACCUGAACUUACCAUCUCAUUAACAUUUACAAUGCAAGUUUGUGGAAUCCGAAGAAUGGGUGAAUUUUAUUUUGUACUGUUAGAAGCUGAAAGGAGGGAGUACUCCAAAUGAUAGAUGCUUGAGGCAAGGGAUGAUGAGCAAACAUAUUGAAAAAGCGACUUUAAUCGAAUUAUGGAUCCAAAACUUUGCCUCUGGUGGAUUGUGAAAGUGUGAAGGUCGAUGGAUGCUUCAAUUGUUUGCAUAAAUGUACUUGAAUAUUUUGGUUGAGUAACUGGUAGUAGUCAUCUUCAAUUCUUUACCCAAGAAGAGGAACCUUCUAAAAUAAUUGAUUAAAAUCAGUUCUGGUAGGGGCUUUUAUUCUUGCUAAUAAAGAAAGCAAAGUGGUGUUAUAAAUAGGAUAAUAAUUAAGUAUAUAAUAAUAUUUUAAAAAAAUUCCAAAUA